rnacentral:rRNA from 1 species
GGCAGCAGUAGGGAAUCUUGCGCAAUGGGCGAACAGCCUGACGCAGUAACGCCGCGUGUGGGAUGAAGGCUUUCGGGUUGUAAACCACUUUCAGCAGGGAAGAAAAUGACGGUAUCUGCAGAAGAAGCCCCGGCCAACUAUGUGCCAGCAGCCGCGGUAAUACAUAGGGGGCAAGCGUUGUCCGGAUUCAUUGGGCGUAAAGAGCUCGUAGGCGGUUUAACAAGUCGGAAGUUAAAACAGCAGGCUUAACCUGUUGGUGCUUUCGAUACUGUUAUGACUUGAGUCUGGUAGGGGAUGAUGGAAUUCCUGGUGUAGCGGUGAAAUGCGCAGAUAUCAGGAGGAACACCGAUGGCGAAGGCAGUCAUCUGGGCCAGAACUGACGCUGAGGAGCGAAAGCGUGGGUAGCGAACAGGAUUAGAUACCCUGGUAGUCCACGCCGUAAACGGUGGGUAUUAGGUGUGGGGAAUUAUCAACGUUCUCUGCGCCGUAGCUAACGCAUUAAAUACCCCGCCUGGGGAGUACGGCCGCAAGGCUAAAACUCAAAGGAAU